rnacentral:rRNA from 1 species
UACGAAGGGGGCUAGCGUUGCUCGGAAUUACUGGGCGUAAAGGGCGCGUAGGCGGAUAUCUAAGUCGGGGGUGAAAGCCCAGGGCUCAACCCUGGAAUUGCCUUCGAUACUGGAUAUCUUGAGUACGGGAGAGGUGAGUGGAACUCCGAGUGUAGAGGUGAAAUUCGUAGAUAUUCGGAAGAACACCAGUGGCGAAGGCGACUCACUGGCCCGUUACUGAUGCUGAGGCGCGAAAGCGUGGGGAGCAAACAGG